rnacentral:rRNA from 1 species
ACGUAUGGAGCAAGCGUUAUCCGGAUUUACUGGGUGUAAAGGGAGUGUAGGUGGCCAGGCAAGUCAGAAGUGAAAGCUCGGGGCUCAACCCCGGGACUGCUUUUGAAACUGCAGGGCUAGAGUGCAGGAGGGGCAAGUGGAAUUCCUAGUGUAGCGGUGAAAUGCGUAGAUAUUAGGAGGAACACCAGUGGCGAAGGCGGCUUGCUGGACUGUAACUGACACUGAGGCUCGAAAGCGUGGGGAGCAAACAG